GACGAACGCUGGCGGCGUGCCUAAUACAUGCAAGUUGAGCGCUGAAGGUUGGUACUUGUACCAACUGGAUGAGCAGCGAACGGGUGAGUAACGCGUGGGGAAUCUGCCUUUGAGCGGGGGACAACAUUUGGAAACGAAUGCUAAUACCGCAUAAAAACUUUAAACACAAGUUUUAAGUUUGAAAGAUGCAAUUGCAUCACUCAAAGAUGAUCCCGCGUUGUAUUAGCUAGUUGGUGAGGUAAAGGCUCACCAAGGCGAUGAUACAUAGCCGACCUGAGAGGGUGAUCGGCCACAUUGGGACUGAGACACGGCCCAAACUCCUACGGGAGGCAGCAGUAGGGAAUCUUCGGCAAUGGACGAAAGUCUGACCGAGCAACGCCGCGUGAGUGAAGAAGGUUUUCGGAUCGGAAAACUCUGUUGGUAGAGAAGAACGUUGGUGAGAGUGGAAAGCUCAUUAAGUGACGGUAACUACCCAGAAAGGGACGGCUAACUACGUG
rnacentral:rRNA from 1 species